UAAAAGAUGUUAGCAAAUGGCAAACUCAUAUUUUCUCUACAUCUUGUGGCAGCAAAGUUGUCGUUAUAUUUUAACAUAGUAUUGCCACGCCUCCAUUCCUGCAGUCAACAGCAAGCAAAGCACAAGUAAAUACCACUGCAUUCGACAGACAUAGAUUUUCUCAAAAUUCCCCAUUGUUUUCAGCUUUAUCCCUUCAAAGCUUCAACCAUGACGGACCACCACGAGACGCGAGACGGAAAACCCAACAAAAACCUUCCUCAUGCUUCUUCAGAGAAAUUCCCAAUUGGAUCCUCUGAUAGCGGGUUCUCUUCCGGGCCAAAGUACCCGAAUCCACCUGAGACGACUAACCCGGACCCGGCCACUCUCAGGGAGCAGUGGAGGUAUGCUACUAGGCAGUACAGUAGAUGGUAUUCUCAAGCUUGGGGCACCGCUAUACUUGCGGGUCUGUCUUUCUUUGCUCUUGGUUGGAUAAUUAAGGGUUCUAAUCCUUUGCCCUCUUUCAAGAGCGAAAAUGUGGAAAAGAAAGAUGAUAAGAAUAGCCCUGAGCAGGCUAAGCAAGGUUAAUUGAAUGGUGAUUUUGGUUCAAGAUAAUUCGUAGUAACGUCUUGAAAGUGGAUGUAAAAUGGGGAUUUUAUGUUUCCCAGCUUCACUAGGUUGCUUCUUGAGUAAUAGAGCAAGUAACUACAAGAAAAAAUAUGUGGAGAAAGCAACAAAAAGGAAGAUGAGGCAUGCGACCUUGAAGUUACAUGUACCAACAACGUACUCUGUUUUCGAACAUCUGGGUGUUCUUGAAUGGACUAGUAACGUCUUUGUUGACGUCUGUGGAAUUUGUAUAAUGUAUUUUGAGUUACCGUACCUGCUACAACUCUCAGUUUCUCGCAAGAAUGUAAUCUGGAUAGAAUUUGAAAAGGGCAUCUUUCUACUGAUGAAAUCUGUGUAAAGUUUCAAAAUCCAAUUGGGCAUUCAGUGGAUAUAUAACAGUGCAAUCUUUUCCCUUC